GACGAACGCUGGCGGCGCGCUUAACACAUGCAAGUCGAACGAGAAGCCCGGGCUUGCCCGGGUGGAAAGUGGCGAACGGGUGCGUAACACGUGAGCAACCUGCCCCGAAGACCGGGAUAACACCGGGAAACCGGUGCUAAUACCGGAUGCCCUCGCCGGGCCGCAUGACUCGGCGAGGAAAUGGAUUCCGCUUCGGGAUGGGCUCGCGGCCUAUCAGCUUGUUGGUGGGGUAACGGCCUACCAAGGCAA
rnacentral:rRNA from 1 species